GUUCGCUCUCUUUCAUCCCCUUUCUCCUUUUCUGUCAUCCCUUUCCCUCUGAAGGAAGGAACUAUGGAAACUGCACCCUGUGGACUCGAAGGACUCGCAACUCUCGCCAAACACGCGAAAUUGAAUAAGAUGCUUGCAGAUGAAUCUGUCAGCGCUGAAGGUUUGACCCGUUUGACCCAUCCUCGGGCAACUCACCACUUUCAAUUGACACACUUCACCGUGCUGAAACUCAACAGGUACAACAACAAAAAAGCCAGAGAGGAUGCUGAUUUUAUUUGAGAUUUUGAACAACAUUAUUAAAAGAAAUCUCCCAAUUUUUAAUUUCAUUUUAAACUCAACCUCCUUUCAUGAACUUUUUCCCAUUUCAAUUCCCA
ensembl:lncRNA